rnacentral:lncRNA from 1 species
CGGGGCUUCGAUUCUCACUCUUGGAGCGGGGAGGCCAAAGGAGUCGGAAAGGGGCGUUAUCUAUUUCGGAAGUGAGUGGGACAAUGGCGAGCAAGCGGUCGUGAGCCUUGAGCUUUGCAGCUUUUCUUGGCUCCCAUUUCCUCCUAAAGCCACGAGUUUACCAGCGUCUCUUACAAGUAGUGUGUCGCCACUUUAAAAAAAACAUCAGGAAAGGAAAAGGGAGAACCCCGGAGCCCGAAGCUACGCCCGCCUGCGGCAGGGGUGCGCCAAUUGUCCAGUGUAUAAACUAAAAACAAAGUUCUCAUCCAAUGCUUU